GUGCUUGCUUCAGCAGCACAGAUACUAAAAUUGGAACAAAACACAAAAGAUUAGCAUGACCCCUUCACAGCAAUGACAUGUAAAUUCGUGAAGUGUUCAAUAUUUUU